GAUGAACGCUGGCGGCGUGCUUAACACAUGCAAGUCGAGCGUGAUUUUUGUGGAAAUUCUUUCGGGAAUGGAAAUGAAAUGAAAGUGGCGAACGGGUGAGUAACACGUGAGCAACCUACCUUACACAGGGGGAUAGCCGUUGGAAACGACGAUUAAUACCGCAUGAGACCACAGAAUCGCAUGAUAUAGGGGUCAAAGAUUUAUCGGUGUAAGAAGGGCUCGCGUCUGAUUAGCUAGUUGGAAGGGUAAAGGCCUACCAAGGCGACGAUCAGUAGCCGGUCUGAGAGGAUGAACGGCCACAUUGGAGCUGAGACACGGUCCAAACUCCUACGGGAGGCAGCAGUGGGGAAUAUUGCACAAUGGGGGGAACCCAGAUGCAGCGACGCCGCGUGAGCGAAGAAGGUUUUCGAAUCGUAAAGCCCUGUCCUAUGAGAAGAUAAUGACGGUAUCAUAGGAGGAAGCCCCGGCUAAAUACGUG
rnacentral:rRNA from 1 species